CCUACGGGGUGCAGCAGUGAGGAAUAUUGGUCAAUGGGCGUAAGCCUGAACCAGCCAAGUCGCGUGAGGGAUGAAGGUUCUAUGGAUCUUAAACCUCUUUUAUAAGGGAAUAAAGUGUGGGACGUGUCCUGUUUUGUCUGUACCUUAUGAAUAAGGAUCGGCUAACCCCGUGCCAGCAGCCGCGGUAAUACGGAGGAUCCGAGGGUUUUCCGGAUUUCUUGGGUUUAAGGGUUGCUUAGGCGGCCUUUUAAGUCAGCGGGGAAAGUCUGUGGCUCAACCAUAGAAUUGCCGUGAAAACUGGGAGGCUUGGGUAUGUUUGGGGCAGGGGGAAUGCGUGGUGUGGCGGUGAA
rnacentral:rRNA from 1 species